rnacentral:rRNA from 1 species
CAGGUAGUAGUGUGAGAGGAGACCCAGCACAUGGGACUGGAGACCACGGCCCAGAUCCUACGGAAGGCAGCAGUGGGGAAUUGACAAUGGGGCAACCCUGAUUCAAGCAAUGCGCGGUGAGUGAAGAAGGCCUUCGGUUGUUAAAGCUCUUUGUCAGGGAAGAAACGGUUCUGAUUAAUACCUGGGACUAAUGACGGUACUGAAGAUAAGCACCGGCUAACUACGUGGCAGCAGCCGCGGUAAUACGUAGGGUGCAAGCGUUAAUCGGAAUUACUGGGCGUAAAGCGUGCGCAGGCGGUUGUGUAAGUCAGAUGUGAAAUCCCCGGGCUCAACCUGGGAAUUGCAUUUGAGACUGCACGGCUAGAGUGUGUCAGAGGGGGGUAGAAUUCCACGUGUAGCAGUGAAAUGCGUAGAUAUGUGGAGGAAUACCGAUGGCGAAGGCAGCCCCCUGGGAUAACACUGACGCUCAUGCACGAAAGCGUGGGGAGCAAACAGGAUUAGAUACCCUGGUAGUCCACGCCCUAAACGAUGUCUACUAGUUGUCGGGUCUUAAUUGACUUGGUAACGCAGCUAACGCGUGAAGUAGACCGCCUGGGGAGUACGGUCGCAAGAUUAAAACUCAAAGGAAUUGACGGGGACCCGCACAAGCGGUGGAUGAUGUGGAUUAAUUCGAUGCAACGCGAAAAACCUUACCUACCCUUGACAUGGAUGGAAUCCCGAAGAGAUUUGGGAGUGCUCGAAAGAGAACCAUCACACAGGUGCUGCAUGGCUGUCGUCAGCUCGUGUCGUGAGAUGUUGGGUUAAGUCCCGCAACGAGCGCAACCCUUGUCAUUAGUUGCUACGAAAGGGCACUCUAAUGAGACUGCCGGUGACAAACCGGAGGAAGGUGGGGAUGACGUCAAGUCCUCAUGGCCCUUAUGGGUAGGGCUUCACACGUCAUACAAUGGUACAUACAGAGGGCCGCCAACCCGCGAGGGGGAGCUAAUCCCAGAAAGUGUAUCGUAGUCCGGAUUGGAGUCUGCAACUCGACUCCAUGAAGUUGGAAUCGCUAGUAAUCGCGGAUCAGCAUGUCGCGGUGAAUACGUUCCCGGGUCUUGUACACACCGCCCGUCACACCAUGGGAGCGGGUUUUACCAGAAGUGGGUAGCCUAACCGCAAGGAGGGCGCUCACCACGGUAGAAUUUCCGGGC